GCAGAAGUUAAAUAAAUGUAGCAGACAUUCUAAAUUCGAUAAAAAAUUCAGAGAACCCGACAUUUUAUGUACCCCAAAGGUCCAAACAGAACCGAUGUAAAUGUCAAUAGCUGUCUCCCUUCCGGCUGAUACUUAAAUGGUUUUACUAGUACUCAAAGCAAUGAAAUCAGCAACUCUCUCUCCACACUCUAGUCAACACUCCAAUUUCCAAAGCCGCAAUUCGCAAACGUCAGUUGGGCGGGGGCGGUGGGGGAUCUUGAAGUAAUCCAAAAAUUUCCUUUCCCCUUUGACAGUCCACCAAAAGAUGUCAAACCAAAUCCAGCCUAUUGUAAAGCUCUGGGACCUCCCUUCCAAGGACACCGAACACAAGCUUAGACACCGCUGCGAAAAGCUGUCCAAAAGCGCCUGGCCGGACAGAAAUGGUUGCCGUGCAGGGAGUGUCAGCCACGUCUAGCGCACAGUCCCAGGCCCCAGGGCGAAGGCGGCCAGGGGAAAUGGGGCUCAGGGAUUGCUAAGCAAACGCAUCACUGGUGGUCUCCAGCGCCUGCGGAGGUAGGAUCGCCUCUUUUCUUAAGGGGCGUGUUAUUUUGUUCUCUUUUGAAAGUAGGAGGGGGUUCAUUCGUUUCUCGCUGCGGGGGGUGGGAGAGAACGUUGCUGCACCGCCUGGGUCUCCAAGAGGGAGGGUGCGGGGAUGUCUGCAAUGGUACUAUAAUUAUUCCUGGGCUGAGAGAGCAAGUAAAGGGGACG
rnacentral:lncRNA from 1 species